AUUCUCCUUUUUUUACUAUAGAUCUAAAUUUCUUUCUUUUUCUUUUUCAUCUUAUAUGGAAAAGCUUCUUUGAGAACAUAGAAAAGUUGCCAAAAUUUCAAUUUAAAUCUUAAAAGGAUUUCUUCGAUUAAUACUGUGGUAAUGAUAUUAGAGUGGAAGUAGAAGAGGUGAAGUUUUUUGGUUAAGCUCUGUGUAUUUCUUAUGGUGUUUUAUUGGUGGUUAUGGUAAAUUUUUGUGAGAACAUGAAAUUUUAUGGUAGAUCGACGGAUUUUUUUCCAUACAGGUAGGUGGUUGCUGUUGCUUCUUCUUCUUUGGAUCAUAAUGGGGCUUUGUGAAUGAAGAUCUUUUAUAGCGAGUAUUGAUGGUGAGUCUGGAUUUAAUAGGGUAGUUGGACGGUACUUAUAUGUAAUUUUGUAUAAAUAUUCUAUAUAUAUAUAUAAUUGUAUACAAUUAUACAAUAUAUUAAAUAUUUUAUAUACACAUCUAUAAAGUUGUACAUAAACGAUAAUUUAUAUUGUAGUCUUUUUUAUAAAGUUGUAUAUAUAUUAUUAUGCUAUGUAUAAAAGUUGCAUAUACAUUGUAUCUUAGGAUCGGCAAUGCACUUUUUGUACAUUGAGUGUAUUCCGAACGUGUUGUAUAUCCAAAGUGUACAUUGAAUUUUUUAUACAUGAUUACAUAGUGUAUAUAUACUAUACAAUAUGUAUAUAUUGUGUAUGUAUACUAUAUAGUACUUAUAUAUACUAUAUAAAAAUUAUAUACAUAUUCUAUACACGAUUGACACAUUGUGCAAUUGUAUUUUUGUAUAAAAAAAAUUGUAUAUAAACCAUUA
rnacentral:lncRNA from 1 species